rnacentral:lncRNA from 1 species
GUCAGCUGUUUUUUAUGCCUUCAUUGUGUUUCCAUAGAAAAGGGUAUAAAAGCUGCUUGGGAAGUAAAGAAGGCAGAGAAAAAGACAAAGAAACAUGAUGGCAGUGGUGGAGAGAAAGGUAAAGAGAGAAGGUCACAGGGAUGGAGAGAGAGAAAGAGAUUUUUCUGCUUGAGAAAGGCAGAAGAUGGCAGCUGAUCUGCAGGGGAUGACAUCCAAGGUCGUCUGACUCUGAAGCCACAGGUCAUCCCUCUCCUUCAGAAUGCAAACAAAAGAGAAAUGUAUGGGGACAACCUCUUCUAUGAGGACACCAACAAGUUUUCAUCAAAUGACAAGAUUACUCAUAAACACUGGUAAGGAAGCUGAGAUCUAUGUUUCCUGACUCUUGCGCCUCUGGUGAAGUCACC